rnacentral:rRNA from 1 species
GACAGAGGCCCCAAGCGUUAGGCGGAAUCACUGGGCUUAAAGCGUGUGUAGGCGGAUCGUUAAGUGUCUUGUGAAAUCCCACGGCUCACCCGUGGAACUGCUGGGCAUACUGGCGAUCUUGGGCCAACUAGGGGCAGCUGGAACAAGCGGUGGAGCGGUGAAAUGCGUAGAUAUCGCUUGGAACGCCAACGGUGAAAACAGGUUGCUGGGGGUGUGCUGACGCUGAGACACGAAAGCCAGGGGAGCGAACGGG